rnacentral:rRNA from 1 species
GACGAACGCUGGCGGCACGCCUAACACAUGCAAGUCGAGCGGGAUCUUGCGGAAUGCGUCUUCGGACAAGUGAAGCAAGUGAGAGCGGCGGACGGGUGAGUAACGCGUGAGUAACCUGCCCUAUACAGGGGGAUAGCCAUUGGAAACGGUGAUUAAUACCCCAUAAGACCACGCCAUCGCAUGAUGAAGUGGUAAAAACUGAGGUGGUAUAGGAUGGACUCGCGUCUGAUUAGCUAGUUGGUGAGGUAACGGCUCACCAAGGCGACGAUCAGUAACCGGCCUGAGAGGGUUAACGGUCACACUGGAACUGAGACACGGUCCAGACUCCUACGGGAGGCAGCAGUGGGGAAUAUUGCACAAUGGGGGAAACCCUGAUGCAGCGAUGCCGCGUGAACGAAGAAGGCUUUCGAGUCGUAAAGUUCUGUUCUUAGGGAAGAAAAUGACGGUACCUAAGGAGAAAGCACCGGCUAAAUACGUGCCAGCAGCCGCGGUAA